UAGAGUUUGAUCCUGGCUCAGGAUGAACGCUAGCGACAGGCUUAACACAUGCAAGUCGAGGGGCAGCGGUGGUGAAGGCUUGCCUUUACCAGCCGGCGACCGGCGCACGGGUGAGUAACACGUAUGCAACCUGCCUGCCACAGCCGGAUAAUCGGGAGAAAUUCCGUCUAAUACGGCAUAAUGCACCUAUGGGACAUCCUGUUGGUGCCAAAGGUUGAUUCCGGUGGCGGAUGGGCAUGCGUCGCAUUAGUUAGUUGGCGGUGUAACGGACCACCAAGACGACGAUGCGUAGGGGUUCUGAGAGGAAGGUCCCCCACACUGGUACUGAGACACGGACCAGACUCCUACGGGAGGCAGCAGUGAGGAAUAUUGGUCAAUGGGCGGGAGCCUGAACCAGCCAAGUCGCGUGAGGGAUGACGGCCCUAUGGGUUGUAAACCUCUUUUGCCGGGGAGCAAAGUGCCGCACGUGUGCGGUUUGGAGAGUACCCGGAGAAAAAGCAUCGGCUAACUCCGUGCCAGCAGCCGCGGUAAUACGGAGGAUGCGAGCGUUAUCCGGAUUUAUUGGGUUUAAAGGGUGCGUAGGCGGACGCUUAAGUCAGCGGUAAAAUUGCGGGGCUCAACCUCGUCGAGCCGUUGAAACUGGGUGCCUUGAGUGGGCGAGAAGUACGCGGAAUGCGUGGUGUAGCGGUGAAAUGCAUAGAUAUCACGCAGAACUCCGAUUGCGAAGGCAGCGUACCGGCGCCCAACUGACGCUGAAGCACGAAGGCGUGGGUAUCGAACAGGAUUAGAUACCCUGGUAGUCCGCACAGUAAACGAUGGAUGCCAGCUUUCCGGGCCGAAUGGGGCCGGGGGGCAAAGCGAAAGCGUUAAGCUUCCCCCCUGGGGAGUACGCCGGCAACGGUGAAACUCAAAGGAAUUGACGGGGGCCCGCACAAGCGGAGGAACAUGUGGUUUAAUUCGAUGAUACGCGAGGAACCUUACCCGGGCUCAAACGCGUCAGGGAUCCCCUUCGAAAGGAGGGGAGUCAGCAAUGACCUGGCGCGAGGUGCUGCAUGGUUGUCGUCAGCUUGUGCCGUGAGGUGUCGGCUUAAGUGCCAUAACGAGCGCAACCCCUACCGACAGUUGCUAACUGGUGAAGCAGAGGACUCUGUCGGGACUGCCGGCGCAAGCUGCGAGGAAGGCGGGGAUGACGUCAAAUCAGCACGGCCCUUACGUCCGGGGCGACACACGUGUUACAAUGGCAGGUACCGCGGGAAGCCACCCGGCGACGGGGCGCGGAACCCGAAAACCUGUCUCAGUUCGGAUUGGAGUCUGCAACCCGACUCCAUGAAGCUGGAUUCGCUAGUAAUCGCGCAUCAGCCACGGCGCGGUGAAUACGUUCCCGGGCCUUGCACUCACCGCCCGUCA
rnacentral:rRNA from 1 species